GCCUGGCUGGCUCAGUUGGUAGAGCAUAUGAUUCUUGAACUCGGGGUUGUGAGUUUGAGCCCCACGCUGGGCA
rnacentral:tRNA from 1 species